UACGAAGGGGGCUAGCGUUGCUCGGAAUUACUGGGCGUAAAGCGCACGUAGGCGGUCUUUUAAGUCGGUGGUGAAAUCCUGGAGCUCAACUCCAGAACUGCCUUCGAUACUGGAAGACUUGAGUCCGGGAGAGGUGAGUGGAACUGCGAGUGUAGAGGUGAAAUUCGUAGAUACUCGCAAGAACACCAGUGGCGAAGGCGGCUCACUGGCCCGGUACUGACGCUGAGGUGCGAAAGCGUGGGGAGCAAACAGG
rnacentral:rRNA from 1 species